UGGGGAAUAUUGGACAAUGGGGGCAACCCUGAUCCAGCCAUGCCGCGUGGGUGAAGAAGGCCUUCGGGUUGUAAAGCCCUUUUGUACGGGAAGAAAAGCUUCCGGUUAACAACCGGGGGUCAUGACGGUACCGUAAGAAUAAGCACCGGCUAACUUCGUGCCAGCAGCCGCGGUAAUACGAAGGGUGCAAGCGUUACUCGGAAUUACUGGGCGUAAAGCGUGCGUAGGUGGUAAGUUAAGUCUGAUGUGAAAUCCCCGGGCUCAACCUGGGAAUGGCAUUGGAUACUGGCUCGCUAGAGUGCGGUAGAGGGUGGUGGAAUUCCCGGUGUAGCAGUGAAAUGCGUAGAGAUCGGGAGGAACAUCUGUGGCGAAGGCGGCCACCUGGACCAACACUGACACUGAGGCACGAAAGCGUGGGGAGCAAACAGGAUUAGAUACCCUGGUAGUCCACGCCCUAAACGAUGUCUACUAGUUGUCGGGUCUUAAUUGACUUGGUAACGCAGCUAACGCGUGAAGUAGACCGCCUGGGGAGUACGGUCGCAAGAUUA
rnacentral:rRNA from 1 species